UACGUACGGGGCAAGCGUUGUCCGGAAUUACUGGGCGUAAAGAGCUCGUAGGUGGUUUGUCGCGUUGUCCGUGAAAACUCACAGCUUAACUGUGGGCGUGCGGGCGAUACGGGCAGACUGGAGUACUGCAGGGGAGACUGGAAUUCCUGGUGUAGCGGUGGAAUGCGCAGAUAUCAGGAGGAACACCGGUGGCGAAGGCGGGUCUCUGGGCCGAUACUGACGCUGAGGAGCGAAAGCGUGGGGAGCGAACAGG
rnacentral:rRNA from 1 species